UUCUCUCGCACUCACACAUCACACACCUCACAGUCUCACCAUUCCUAAAAAAAUUCAGUCUCACCGCUCAAUAAAAAAAUGAGUCUCACACGGUGCUCUUGCCUGAUCCCCUUUUCAUCUUGUUCUAUCCCCUCUGUACAAAUUUUGUUCCACCCGAGGCUGCGGAUUUAAUUCCGAACACCACCUCAGUUUCCCCUCUUGAUUCCUUGCCGUGACCUUGCUCUUACACACCUGCACGCACGGGGUGGCCAUCUCGUGUGCCUAAUUUGGCUCCCUGUACGCCUCCUCGAUCUGCUAAGCCGAACGGCGAUGGAGGGUUAGCAGGGCUCGAUGAGAAGCUGCACAAUGGAGGAGGCGAGCUUGUCGAUCUUGAAGUGCCGCGGUCGACGGCGUCCUUGGAGGCGACGUGGGCGUUGAUUUCGUCUCGCACAUCCAACUUGAAUCCACCUCAAUUGUGAGGAUGCUGGCGGCGUGUCUUCCAUCGCAUCGUGGCCGUCCCGGAGCGAGGCGCCCCGGCACGUCAUCUUCAUCCUACUUCGGCGGCUCAUUAUUCACCUGCAGGUUUUUCCGAUGCAGCUUGGCCUACUUCCUGUAGCAUAGACUGUAUCUCCGUCCAAGCUGCGUUCAACAUGAAUGUCACAAAUAGGGGAAUAAUAAUGGAUACUGCAUAGCCGUGAAUUAUGAAUGGUUCUUUGAUAUUCUUCUCGGCCUUAUCUCUUUGUACUGAACAAUGAUAUCACAUCCUUUUCUAUUCCCUAUUGUAUCAUUCAUAAUCAAGCCUGCAACUUUGGUUGCCAUUCUGAGUGUUUUUGCUAGUCUAUUAUCUCUAUCCAACAUAUUUUUAAGGCCCUCGACAGUACGACGAUUGGUUGACUCCCUUUUGUAUUCUGAUGCUGACGCGUUAAUCCUAUUUUUACCUCAUUUGUAGGGUCAUAGGUGCAUAACUGCGCUGUGCGUGUUUUAUCUUUACCUUCAGAUGGUACUUACUGGAGGCUCGCUCGAUCGAUGGCGCAAUUGAGGAUAUUAGGGGAACUUGCUUGCGAGAGUUCCUUUUCUUCUUUGAGGGAAAGCCAUCAUGGUGGUGUAUAUUAAUUUGGAGUAACUGUAAUAGCAACAUUAUGAUGGGUACAAGUCUAACCUAUCAUGAGUUUGUCUAUGGAAUCAUGAGAUUGAUUCUGAGAUUGGUGUAAAGAAUAUGUGAUAGGCCGUAAGAUUGAUUGUGAGAUUAGUGUAUAUGGUAUUGGAAACAAAAACAAAAGAGAAUACAUGCAAAUGAACAGUGUAGGGUUGGAUUGUAUGGGAGAAGCGAUUAACAUACCUAUCUUGGCUUGGGCCGUUGCUCAUGCUGUA